CGGGAGGCAGCAGUGGGGAAUUUUGGACAAUGGGCGCAAGCCUGAUCCAGCAAUGCCGCGUGAGUGAAGAAGGCCUUCGGGUUGUAAAGCUCUUUUGUCAGGGAAGAAACGGUGGUUUCUAAUACAAGCCACUAAUGACGGUACCUGAAGAAUAAGCACCGGCUAACUACGUGCCAGCAGCCGCGGUAAUACGUAGGGUGCAAGCGUUAAUCGGAAUUACUGGGCGUAAAGCGUGCGCAGGCGGUUAUGUAAGACAGAUGUGAAAUGCCCGGGCUUAACCUGGGAACUGCAUUUGUGACUGCAUGGCUAGAGUUUGGCAGAGGGGGGUAGAAUUCCACGUGUAGCAGUGAAAUGCGUAGAUAUGUGGAGGAACACCGAUGGCGAAGGCAGCCCCCUGGGUCAAGACUGACGCUCAUGCACGAAAGCGUGGGGAGCAAACAGGAUUAGAUACCCCGGU
rnacentral:rRNA from 1 species